ensembl:lncRNA
CAUGUGCCUAGAUUCAGAUUUUAUUCAUAAAAAGCACAAUGAAAAUGGGAUUUACAUACAUACAAUGUAGUAAUCUUUUCCUUUAUUUUAGUUUUUUUUAAAAAUAACAUAAUUAGUAAGGUAAGUUCUAAUUUCCCUAUAAUCUGCAUGAGUUCUCUACUCCAGAAAUUCUCCAACACUCCAAAUCUGUGUCUGAUUUUUUUUUCUCAAACUCUUCAGCUACCUGAUCUUCACCUAUCCAGAGGAGUUUUGAUUUGAUGGAGCCCCUUAGAUUGGUGUAUGCACUUAUUCCUUUUACGAUCUCAAGCAUGGUAACAAGGAUAGUGACCUUAAGGACUGCCAUCCAGCAUUUGGUAGAUACCCAGUGCUGUCAACAUGGAGUUUCCACAAUGUGUAAGGUUUUCAAGUGUGACUAAGGAAUGGAAGUAUUGGGCUAAGGAAUGAAUACUUCUGUUCCUGUCCAAGGCUGCUGUGGGAGCCAUGCGGUGCUGUGCCUGCUGUGUCAUUACCAGGUAGAAGAGAGAAAUGAUGCUGCGUUCUUCUAGCUCUUCCGCUGUUAGGAUUCUAGUUCCCGCGUCUCUGAUCACCUCUGGAUUGGCCACCAUAGGAGUGGACUUAAAGGAUGAAGAGAAAGGCAAAACUAACAUUUUUUUGAGACACCAGAUACUCUAAUUAGAAAUACAGUAUUAUACCUUACCAUAAUUGCUAUAAAAAUAUGAGACCCAGAAAGGUUAAUUUGUUGUUUUGGCUAUCACUUUAAUUUAGCAAUUAUUAUUAGGCAUUGCCAGUAUGAUUACACUUAUAACUGCCCUAGGUCGUCAGUCCUGUAGUCUUUUCAGGCAACUUGAAGGUAACAUUCAUUUUAGAGUACUUUCUUCUAUACUGCUAGAAGAUACAGACAUUUCAAAUGGCAAUACUGAUAGGAGACAUAAAAUCCAGAAUAUUAUAAUCAAAUAUCUGGCCAGUGUUCAGACUUAACUUGGUUGUGCCAUUUAAAGAGAAUUUGCAGUUGGUUUACUUAAAUCAUGAUCCAGACAAGGUUCAUACACUGGAUUCACUUGCAGUGUGAACUAUGAGG